rnacentral:rRNA from 1 species
UACUAAGGGGGCUAGCGUUGUUCGGAAUUACUGGGCGUAAAGCGUACGCAGGCGGCUUGACAAGUCAGGGGUGAAAUCCCAGAGCUUAACUCUGGAACUGCCUUUGAAACUGUCAAGCUAGAGUCCGAGAGAGGAUGGUGGAAUUCCUAGUGUAGAGGUGAAAUUCGUAGAUAUUAGGAGGAACACCGGUGGCGAAGGCGGCCAUCUGGCUCGGUACUGACGCUCAUGUACGAAAGCGUGGGGAGCAAACAGG